rnacentral:rRNA from 1 species
AGUGAACGCUGGCGGUAGGCCUAACACAUGCAAGUCGAACGGCAGCACAGGAGAGCUUGCUCUCUGGGUGGCGAGUGGCGGACGGGUGAGGAAUACAUCGGAAUCUACUCUGUCGUGAGGGAUAACGUAGGGAAACUUACGCUAAUACCGCAUACGACCUACGGGUGAAAGCAGGGGAUCUUCGGACCUUGCGCGAUUGAAUGAGCCGAUGUCGGAUUAGCUAGUUGGCGGGGUAAAGGCCCACCAAGGCGACGGUCCGUAGCUGGUCUGAGAGGAUGAUCAGCCACACUGGAACUGAGACACGGUCCAGACUCCUACGGGAGGCAGCAGUGGAGAAUAUUGGACAAUGGGCGCAAGCCUGAUCCAGCCAUACCGCGUGGGUGAAGAAGGCCUUCGGGUUGUAAAGCCCUUUUGUUGGGAAAGAAAUCCAGCUGGCUAAUACCCGGUUGGGAUGACGGUACCCAAAGAAUAAGCACCGGCUAACUUCGUGCCAGCAGCCGCAGUAA